AAUAGAUACCCCGGUAGUCCACGCCGUAAACGAUGAGUGCUAAGUGGUUAGGGGGUUUCCGCCCCUUAGUGCUGCAGCUAACGCAUUAAGCACUCCGCCUGGGGAGUACGGUCGCAAGACUGAAACUCAAAGGAAUUGACGGGGGCCCGCACAAGCGGUGGAGCAUGUGGUUUAAUUCGAAGCAACGCGAAGAACCUUACCAGGUCUUGACAUCCCAUUGACCACUAUGGAGACAUAGUUUUCCCUUCGGGGACAACGGUGACAGGUGGUGCAUGGUUGUCGUCAGCUCGUGUCGUGAGAUGUUGGGUUAAGUCCCGCAACGAGCGCAACCCUUGUUCUUAGUUGCCAUCAUUUAGUUGGGCACUCUAAGGAGACUGCCGGUGACAAACCGGAGGAAGGUGGGGAUGACGUCAAAUCAUCAUGCCCCUUAUGACCUGGGCUACACACGUGCUACAAUGGACGGUACAAACGGUUGCCAACCCGCGAGGGGGAGCUAAUCCGAUAAAACCGUUCUCAGUUCGGAUUGUAGGCUGCAACUCGCCUACAUGGAGCC
rnacentral:rRNA from 1 species